AGAGAGCAGAAUACUGACAAGGCUCCUCUGGGACCUAGAUGUCCUGGGCACCUCUCCGACCUCCGGGGAGUUCUGGGCGUGCUGCAUCAAGUUUCUCCAGAUGUCUACCUUUCCGCUUUUGGGGAGUCGUAAGAUUCAAUCUUCUGGGAAAACUUGAGGUCGAGGGAUUUUGUGCGGGUGCUGACUCCACGGCCUUAGCCACAGUUUUCUGGGAAGCCCUUACACAGGCCCUGAACAAGGACCAGAUAAGAGUUCUGCCCUGCGAAAACAAAAGUACUCAAACUGGGCUGCGAGGUGUAGCUGUAGGAUGAUUUUUUUUCAACCAUCUUACGGAUUAGGAAAAUUGAUGACAUGGAGAAAUUCUCAUUGCAUUUUUUAAAUGGAAACAAACAAACAAACAAAAACCCGAAACCCUCAUGUGCAAAACCACGUUGAAAGUCUGAACUUACCUCUGAAAAUAUAAAAACAGCACUUGAAAACCAAGAGAUACCUGGGUAGCAGAAUGCUUGCCUAGCAGAUAGGAAGCCCUGGGUUGAAGCCUUUGUACCACAUAAACUGUGUGGGACAGCACACACCUGUGAUCUCAACACUUGGAAGGUAGAGGCAAAAAAUUAGAAGAUCAAGUUUAUUCACAACAUCCUCGGAGACAGCAAGUUCCAGGCCAGCCUCGGCUACGUGAGACUAGAGGAGGAGACAUUUUACAACAGCAGCGAUGCUAGAAAUACGCAUAAUAGUUUUCUCUAUAGUACCCUACAGCCUGGAUGUGGUUAUUUUAAAAACACUACAUUUUGAAGUUUGAAUUCAGUAGAAUGUUUUUGUCUAAUAAAAUGUCACUAAAAUUAAAUCUCUCCCUCCCUCCUUCCUCCUCCCUCCCUUCUCCCUCCUCACCAGAGAAGGAAUCCAUCCCCAUUGAGGAGCAAGGCUAUCUCUCUGAGAUGACCCUGCUAGGUGACUGCAUAUAUUUAUCUGUGCUUAUCUCUGUCUCUCUUAUCUGAACCAAACGCCAUGGGAACAGGGACGGUGGCUGUUUUUAUUUCUACUGAUGAUUCAGGUCUAGCACAAUGCCUCGUGGAGAACGAUGAAUAUUGUCUAAUGUUUGUAAAAUGAAUGAUGUGUCUAUUUUUUUUUUGCUUUACUUUUUGUUUGUGAAAUUUAUCAUUGUUUUGGCAUGUUAUGUUGGUGCAAAAUGCAAAGUGAGGACAGUUCAUUCUUUUAGAAUUAUUUUUUUCAUUCUUAAAUGAUGUGUAUUAUGGGAAUCUCUUUGUGGUAUGUGCAACAUGGGCUGUGGCAUUCGUGUGUCCCCCGUUCCCCACAAAUAAAAUAAAUUAAAU
rnacentral:lncRNA from 1 species